AUAUUCUGCCCUAUGAUUAAUUGAAUUAAAUGGCUGCAGUAUAUUAACUGUGCUAAGGUAGCAUAAUAAUUAGUCUUUUAAUUGAGGACUUGUAUGAAUGAAUACAUGAGGAAUUUAUUAUAUAUUUUUUAUAAAAUGAAUUUUAUUUUUUUGUUAAAAAGCUUAAUUAUAUUAAUGGGACGAUAAGACCCUAUAGAACUUUAAUCAAUGUAAUUUAAAUUAAUUUAUUUUAAUAAUUUUAUUAACCUUGAUUUUUACUGGGGUAGUAAAUAAAUGUUAAUUUUAUUUUUUAUCUUCAUUAAUUUAUGUAUUUAAGAUUUAUUAAUUAAAUAUAAGUUUAAGUUACCUUAGGGAUAACAGCGUAAUUUUUAUGGAGAGUUCAUAUCUAUAUAAAAGUUUGCGACCUCGAUGUUGAAUUAAGAUUAAUGGGAGGGGUAGAUUUUUCCACAUUUAAGUC
rnacentral:rRNA from 1 species